rnacentral:rRNA from 1 species
GUGCCAGCAGCCGCGGUAAUACGUAGGGUGCGAGCGUUAAUCGGAAUUACUGGGUGUAAAGCGUGCGCAGGCGGUUUGUUAAGACAGAUGUGAAAUCCCCGGGCUUAACCUGGGAAUGGCAGUGGAAACUAGGGGACUUGAAUCUGGCAGAGGGGGGUGGAAUUCCACGUGUAGCAGUGAAAUGCGUGGAGAUGUGGAGGAACACCGAUGGCGAAGGCAGCCCCCUGGGCUGAGAUUGACGCUGAGUGCACGAAAGCGUGGGGAGCAAACAGGAUUAGAUACCCGCGUAGUCC